GACAGAGGUGCCAAGCGUUAGGCGGAAUCACUGGGCUUAAAGCGUGUGUAGGCGGAUGCCUAAGUACCUUGUGAAAUCCCACGGCUCAACCGUGGAACUGCUGGGUAUACUGGGUGUCUUGGGUCAUCUAGGGGCUGCCGGAACAAAUGGUGGAGCGGUGAAAUGCGUAGAUAUCAUUUGGAACGCCAACGGCGAAAGCAGGCAGCUGGGGGAUGCACCGACGCUGAGACACGAAAGCCAGGGGAGCAAACGGG
rnacentral:rRNA from 1 species